CAUUGGUGCCUUCGCAACAUGAAACCGCGAACCCGGUCAGGCCCGGAAGGGAGCAGCCGCAGCGGUGGAAUUGAGUGCCGGAGUGUCGCUGAUGGGG
rfam:Marinobacter antarcticus strain CGMCC 1.10835 genome assembly, contig: Ga0079884_101